UACAGAGGUGGCAAGCGUUGUUCGGAAUUACUGGGCGUAAAGGGCGCGUAGGCGGUUUGCCAAGUCCCGUGUGAAAGCCCUCGGCUCAACCGAGGAACGGCGCGGGAAACUAGCAGGCUCGAGUUCGGGAGAGGGAAGCGGAAUUCCGGGUGUAGCGGUGAAAUGCGCAGAUAUCCGGAGGAACACCGGUGGCGAAGGCGGCUUCCUGGACCGACACUGACGCUGAGGCGCGAAAGCUAGGGGAGCAAACGGG
rnacentral:rRNA from 1 species